rnacentral:misc_RNA from 1 species
GACGGAGGGUGCUAGCGUUGUUCGGAAUUACUGGGCGUAAAGGGCGCGUAGGCGGCUUGGCAAGUCGGAUGUGAAAGCCCGGGGCUCAACCUCGGAACUGCAUUCGAAACUGCCUGGCUCGAGAACGGAAGAGGAGAGUGGAAUACCCAGUGUAGAGGUGAAAUUCGUAGAUAUUGGGUGGAACACCGGUGGCGAAAGCGGCUCUCUGGUCCGGAUCUGACGCUGAGGCGCGAAAGCGUGGGGAGCAAACAGG